rnacentral:rRNA from 1 species
CAGCAGCCGCGGGAAUACGUAGGGUGCAAGCGUUAAUCGGAAUUACUGGGCGUAAAGCGUGCGCAGGCGGUUUGUUAAGACAGAUGUGAAAUCCCCGGGCUCAACCUGGGAACUGCAUUUGUGACUGGCAAGCUAGAGUGUGGCAGAGGGGGGUGGAAUUCCGCGUGUAGCAGUGAAAUGCGUAGAUAUGCGGAGGAACACCGAUGGCGAAGGCAGCCCCCUGGGCCAACACUGACGCUCAUGCACGAAAGCGUGGGGAGCAAACAGGAUUAGAUACCCGAGUAGUCCCUGUCUCUUAUAC